rnacentral:rRNA from 1 species
GAUGAACGCUGGCGGCGUGCUUAACACAUGCAAGUCGAACGAUGAAGCCCAGCUUGCUGGGUGGAUUAGUGGCGAACGGGUGAGUAACACGUGAGUAACCUGCCCUUGACUCUGGGAUAAGCCCGGGAAACUGGGUCUAAUACCGGAUAGGAGCGCCUGUCGCAUGACGGGUGUUGGAAAGAUUUUUCGGUCAUGGAUGGACUCGCGGCCUAUCAGCUUGUUGGUGAGGUAAUGGCUCACCAAGGCGACGACGGGUAGCCGGCCUGAGAGGGUGACCGGCCACACUGGGACUGAGACACGGCCCAGGCUCCUACGGGAGGCAGCAGUGGGGAAUAUUGCACAAUGGGCGGAAGCCUGAUGCAGCGACGCCGCGUGAGGGAUGACGGCCUUCGGGUUGUAAACCUCUUUCAGUAGGGAAGAAGCGAAAGUGACGUACCUGCAGAAGAG